GACCGGCGCACGGGUGCGUAACGCGUAUGUAACCUACCUAUAACAGGGGCAUAACACUGAGAAAUUGGUACUAAUUCCCCAUAAUAUUCGGAGAGGCAUCUCUCCGGGUUGAAAACUCCGGUGGUUAUAGAUGGACAUGCGUUGUAUUAGCUUGUUGGUGAGGUAACGGCCCACCAAGGCGACGAUCAGUAGCCGACCUGAGAGGGUGACCGGCCACAUUGGGACUGAGACACGGCCCAAACUCCUACGGGAGGCAGCAUG
rnacentral:rRNA from 1 species